AUGGCCAAGAUCCAAGAGAGGGAUGUCGACCAAGUGAAAUGCAUCAAGGACAAAGCAGAUCAGCUCCUGGUAAAGGACGAGGAGAUUAAGCAUAGAUGGUGGGAGUACUUCCACAAGCUGUUCAAUGGAGAGAAUGAGAGCUCUAACAUUGAAAUGGACGACUCCUUUGAUGAUACAAGCAAGCGUUUUGUGCGGCAAAUUCGGGAGUCUAAGGUGUGCGAUGCUUUAAAAAGGAUGAAAGGAGGAAGGGCAAUGGGUCCUGAUUGUAUCCCCAUUGAGGUGUGGAGAGGCCUCAGAGACAUAGCGAUAGUAUGGCUAACUAAGCUUUUCAACCUCAUUUUUCGGGCAAACAAGAUGCCAAAAGAAUGGAGGCAAAGUAUGUUAAUACCAAUCUUCAAGAACAAGGGGGAUAUUCAAAGUUGUACUAAUUACUAUGGAAUUAAGCUGAUGAGCCAUACAAUGAAGCUAUAG
rnacentral:rRNA from 1 species